UACGUAGGGGGCAAGCGUUAUCCGGAAUUACUGGGUGUAAAGGGAGCGUAGACGGUAAUGUAAGUCUGGAGUGAAAGGCGGGGGCCCAACCCCCGGACUGCUCUGGAAACUAUGUUACUAGAGUGCAGGAGAGGUAAGCGGAAUUCCUAGUGUAGCGGUGAAAUGCGUAGAUAUUAGGAGGAACACCAGUGGCGAAGGCGGCUUACUGGACUGUAACUGACGUUGAGGCUCGAAAGUGUGGGUAUCAAACAGG
rnacentral:rRNA from 1 species